rnacentral:rRNA from 1 species
UACGUAGGGUGCAAGCGUUAAUCGGAAUUACUGGGCGUAAAGCGUGCGCAGGCGGUUAUGCAAGACAGAUGUGAAAUCCCCGGGCUCAACCUGGGAAUUGCAUUUGUGACUGUACGGCUAGAGUGUGUCAGAGGGGGGUAGAAUUCCACGUGUAGCAGUGAAAUGCGUAGAGAUGUGGAGGAAUACCGAUGGCGAAGGCAGCCCCCUGGGAUAACACUGACGCUCAUGCACGAAAGCGUGGGGAGCAAACAGG